AAAAAGCAAAAAUAAUUUGGAAAAACAAACAUUUAACAUGUGAUUAUUGAAUGAAUAUCAUUGUACUAAUCAAAUUAUGCCAAUAAUGUCAUCACUUCUCCUUUUGGCACAAGAGAAGGGUUUUCAAACAAAAUGAACACAUUACGUUGACUUAUGGAUAACUGUUGGAACAUCAACAACGACCCAAUGAUAGUAGAUUCCUCUUGGUAUGACAAAGUUGCCAAGGUCUUCC
rnacentral:lncRNA from 1 species